AAUCUUACGCAAUGUAUGAGAGGCUGACGGAGUAUCGCCGCGUGAGUGCUUUAGGGAUUCUGUUCGUAAAACUCUGUUGUUAGGGAAAAACAAGUUCCGGCGUCACUGCCGGUACCUUCACGGUACCGAAAUAGACAGCUACGCCUAACUACGUUCCUGCAGCCGCGGUAAUACGUAGGUGGCAAGCGUUGUACGAAUUUGUGGGGCGUAAAGCGCGCGCAGGCGGUCAUUUAAGACUGAUGAGAAAUCUUACAGCGUAACUGUAAGCGGUCAUUGGAAACUGGGAGACUUGAGUGCAGAAGAGGAGAGUGGAAUUCCAUGUGUAGCGGUGAAAUGCGUAGAGAUAUGGAGGAACACCAGUGGCGAAGGCGACUCUCUGGUCUGUAACUGACGCUGAGGCGCGAAAGCGUGGGGAUCAAACA
rnacentral:rRNA from 1 species